CAAGAGGUAGAGGGCAGGAACAGUGAAGACAUCAAGUGAGAAAACAGGAUUAUGACGCUGAUCCCUGGAUGUCACAUUGAGAGGGGGUGUGAGAAGCAAGAGGGAUCAGCAGCAUUGCCCCAACAGAGAAGGAGACAUCACCAUCACCAGAGCAAAGCCAGGCAGCAAAAGCAACACGAAACCGCCAAGGCAGGAGUGACUGAGGGGUGCACCUGGAGAAUUACCUGAGGCAGUAUCCAAACCGGAGGACUCCCUUUUGUGCCACCAGAACAGUUCUCUGCACCCACUCUGUUCCUACAAGGUAAAAAAUGAAUAAUGCAUUGAAAAGCAGCCUCCUUGGGACACAAAGGAGUGGGAAUGCAUACAUGGACAUACUCUUGCUGCUGUAGUAUCACUGCUUGUGUGGGACAGACACCACUGCUGCCUGGCAAGUUACAUCAGCAGCAAGGGAAAAAGCGUUCAACAGCCCAUUGGAUUGGCUUGCAAAUCCCUGCUGGCUUUUUAAUAAUGAUCCUCUUUAGGGAGCACCACCUCUGCCUUAAGGAAGUCCAUGAAUCCUGCGUAAAAAACUCCCUGCUGAAAAGCAACAGCAGCACAAAGCGUAUCCUCAUAUCUGCCCAUCUAUCAGCUACUAGGUGGUGCCUCUUUGGCCACAUACUUCAGUUAAACUUACAGCACCUCCACACUGCUAUUCCUUGACUGUCUACUGUCUGGGUUGCUAGUUUUAAUGCAGAAAAAUAUAAUCAGAUGUACAGCUGAUUAGUUGUAGCUAAUCCAGAAAUAAUCACUGGUUUCUAUCUU